GGGCUAUUAGCUCAGUGGUAGAGCAACCGACUGCAGAUCGGUAGGUCGCUGGUUCAAUUCCGGCAUGGCCCU
rnacentral:tRNA from 1 species